rnacentral:rRNA from 1 species
UGGGGAAUAUUGCACAAUGGGCGCAAGCCUGAUGCAGCCAUGCCGCGUGUAUGAAGAAGGCCUUCGGGUUGUAAAGUACUUUCAGCGAGGAGGAAGGCGUUGUGGUUAAUAACCGCAACGAUUGACGUUACUCGCAGAAGAAGCACCGGCUAACUCCGUGCCAGCAGCCGCGGUAAUACGGAGGGUGCAAGCGUUAAUCGGAGUUACUGGGCGUAAAGCGCACGCAGGCGGUCUGUCAAGUCGGAUGUGAAAUCCCCGGGCUCAACCUGGGAACUGCAUCCGAAACUGGCAGGCUAGAGUCUUGUAGAGGGGGGUAGAAUUCCAGGUGUAGCGGUGAAAUGCGUAGAGAUCUGGAGGAAUACCGGUGGCGAAGGCGGCCCCCUGGACAAAGACUGACGCUCAGGUGCGAAAGCGUGGGGAGCAAACA